AACCAGACUCCUACGGGAGGCAGCAGUGGGGAAUAUUGCACAAUGGGGGAAACCCUGAUGCAGCGACGCCGCGUGAGUGAAGAAGUAUUUCGGUAUGUAAAGCUCUAUCAGCAGGGAAGAAAUAGCGACCUUUGGGUCGCCAGACGGUACCUGACUAAGAAGCCCCGGCUAACUACGUGCCAGCAGCCGCGGUAAUACGUAGGGGGCAAGCGUUAUCCGGAUUUACUGGGUGUAAAGGGAGCGUAGACGGUUAAGUAAGUCUGGAGUGAAAGGCCGGGGCCCAACCCCGGGACUGCUCUGGAAACUAUUGAACUUGAGUGCAGGAGAGGUAAGCGGAAUUCCUAGUGUAGCGGUGAAAUGCGUAGAUAUUAGGAGGAACACCAGUGGCGAAGGCGGCUUACUGGACUGUAACUGACGUUGAGGCUCGAAAGCGUGGGGAGCAAACAGGAUUAGAUACCCCCGUA
rnacentral:rRNA from 1 species